AUGUGUCUGUCUCUCUGUGGCCACUUAACAGCUACCAUAAGGCUGGUGCUUAGGACUUCCUCGAUACUUGCUGAGCUGACCUUGAUCUGCAUGAUGUUACACGGCAAAAAGGGAAACAGUUCUUCUCUUCAGCCAGUUGCUGCAGCAGGGGUUCACCCCACAGGUCCUAUUUGCCUGAUUCCUGGGCAUACAUAUGCCAAACACUGUGGCAGGAACUGGACAUUCAGCUGAUAUUGACACCCAUGGCUCCUCUCCAGGAACUCGUGGUCUGAGGUAGAGGGGAAUCACAGAGUCUCAGAAAGAGUCAAAUGACAGCCCAUGCCAAAGGAGCUAUGCAGACUCCAGCAGGUCCAGCUAUGCUGGGACUAUCUCAUCCAGGCUACUCCAGAACCACUGGCUAAGCAGUUGGUCCUAUGCAGGGCUCAGAUCUGCUCUAGGGCUUUGGAAAUGUUGCUUCCCCGCCCUGCUGCUCAGGUUCCUCAUCUGUAUAGUAAGUGAACCACCCCACGUACUUGUGAGGCUUAAAGGAGUCACACAUGUGAGAUGUUUAGAGCAGUACUUGACAGAGCCUGUGUACACUUUUAUUAUCUGACAUCGAUGGGCUCAGGAAAUUAGAG
rnacentral:lncRNA from 1 species